GAUGAACGCUGGCGGCAGGCCUAACACAUGCAAGUCGAACGGCAGCACAGGAGAGCUUGCUCUCUGGGUGGCGAGUGGCGGACGGGUGAGGAAUAUAUCGGAAUCUACCCUUUCGUGGGGGAUAACGUAGGGAAACUUACGCUAAUACCGCAUACGAACUGAGGUUGAAAGCGGCGGACCGCAAGGCGUCGCGCGGAUGGAUGAGCCGAUAUCCGAUUAGCUAGUUGGCGGGGUAAAGGCCCACCAAGGCGACGAUCGGUAGCUGGUCUGAGGGGAUGAGCAGCCACACUGGAACUGAGACACGGUCCAGACUCCUACGGGAGGCAGCAGUGGGGAAUAUUGGACAAUGGGCGCAAGCCUGAUCCAGCCAUGCCGCGUGUGUGAAGAAGGCCUUCGGGUUGUAAAGCACUUUUGUUGGGAAAGAAAAGCGGUCGGUUAAUACCCGGUCGUUCUGACGGUACCCAAAGAAUAAGCACCGGCUAACUUCGUGCCAGCCGCCGCGGUAA
rnacentral:rRNA from 1 species